AGAGUUUGAUCCUGGCUCAGGAUGAACGCUAGCGGCAGGCCUAACACAUGCAAGUCGAGGGGUAACAGGGUAGCAAUACUGCUGACGACCGGCGCACGGGUGAGUAACGCGUAUGUAAUCUUCCUUUUACUUGGGCACAACUCCGAGAAAUCGGGGCUAAUUCCCAAUAAGAUUUUGGGGAGGCAUCUCUCUGAUCUUAAAGCUCCGGCGGUAAAAGAUGAGCAUGCGUACCAUUAGCUAGUUGGUAGGGUAACGGCCUACCAAGGCUAUGAUGGUUAGGAGGUCUUAAAGGAUGAUCUCCCACACUGGUACUGAGACACGGACCAGACUCCUACGGGAGGCAGCAGUGAGGAAUAUUGGUCAAUGGACGCAAGUCUGAACCAGCCAUGCCGCGUGCAGGAUUGAAGGCUCUAUGGGUCGUAAACUGCUUUUGUACGGGAAGAAAAAGCUCUACGUGAUAGGGAACUGACUGUACCGUAUGAAUAAGCAUCGGCUAACUCCGUGCCAGCAGCCGCGGUAAUACGGAGGAUGCAGGCGUUAUCCGGAUUUAUUAGGUUUAAAGGGUGCGUAGGCGGGAUUGUAAGUCAGCGGUGAAAUCCCACAGCUUAACUGUGGAACUGCCAUUGAUACUGCGAUUCUUGAGUACAAACGAGGUAGGCGGAAUAUGUAAUGUAGCGGUGAAAUGCAUAGAUAUUACAUAGAACUCCGAUUGCGAAGGCAGCUUACCAGCAUGUAACUGACGCUGAUGCACGAAAGCGUGGGGAGCAAACAGGAUUAGAUACCCUGGUAGUCCACGCCGUAAACGAUGAUUACUCGAUGUUGGCGAUAUACCGUCCAGCGUCUGAGCGAAAGCAUUAAGUAAUCCACCUGGGGAGUACGGCGGCAACGCUGAAACUCAAAGGAAUUGACGGGGGCCCGCACAAGCGGAGGAACAUGUGGUUUAAUUCGAUGACACGCGAGGAACCUUACCUGGGUUUAAAUGGGAGCAGACCGCUUCCGAAAGGAGGCUUCCCUUCGGGGCUGCUUUCAAGGUGCUGCAUGGUUGUCGUCAGCUCGUGCCGUGAGGUGUCGGGUUAAGUCCCAUAACGAGCGCAACCCCUAUCAUUAGUUGCCAGCGGAUAAAGCCGGGGACUCUAAUGAGACUGCCAGCGUAAGCUGUGAGGAAGGCGGGGAUGACGUCAAAUCAGCACGGCCCUUACAUCCAGGGCUACACACGUGUUACAAUGGCCGGUACAAAGGGCAGCUACUUGGUGACAAGAUGCUAAUCUCAAAAGCCUGUCUUAGUUCGGAUCGAAGUCUGCAACUCGACUUCGUGAAGUUGGAUUCGCUAGUAAUCGUACAUCAGCAAUGGUACGGUGAAUACGUUCCCGGGCCUUGUACACACCGCCCGUCAAGCCAUGGGAGUUGGGGGUACCUAAAGUCCGCAACCGCAAGGAGCGGCCUAGGGUAAAACCAAUGACUGGGGCUAAGUCGUAACAAGGUA
rnacentral:rRNA from 1 species